CAGUAGCCGCGGUAAUACGUAGGGUGCGAGCGUUAAUCGGAAUUACUGGGCGUAAAGCGUGCGCAGGCGGUUGUGUAAGACAGGUGUGAAAUCCCCGGGCUUAACCUGGGAACUGCGCUUGUGACUGCACAGCUAGAGUAUGGCAGAGGGGGGUGGAAUUCCACGUGUAGCAGUGAAAUGCGUAGAGAUGUGGAGGAACACCGAUGGCGAAGGCAGCCCCCUGGGCCAAUACUGACGCUCAUGCACGAAAGCGUGGGGAGCAAAUGGGAUUAGAUACCCCCGUAGUCCCUGUCUCUUAUAC
rnacentral:rRNA from 1 species